rnacentral:misc_RNA from 1 species
AUAAUAAAUUAAGUUAUAUAUAUAACCAUCUUAAUUGCAUAUAAUAUAUAUAAUUUUAUUGAAACAAUGAAAUAUAUCUAAAAAUAUGAAAAAAAUACAUAUGUAUAAAAUCAAUUCUUCGGUUCAAUUUCGGUCCGAUUUUAGUUCGCUUCCGGUUUGAUUCUUGAUGAAGAACCAGAAUUGAACCAAAACAGUAAAAUAACUUUGGUUUGGUUCCUACAAUAACGGUUCUUUUUCGGUUCUAGUUUAUUUCGGAUCUCACAGGAACCGUGCACAGCCCUAACGUUAGGUGGUAUUAGAGCAGGGAAAUGCCCAAGAUGGCUCACCUUAAGGGAGGUAGGUAGAGCAAUAGAUGGAUCUUAGAUUUAGGCGUAUCGAGAGUCACUUCAAAGAAAUUGUAAAUCAUUUUGGUGCUUUGGAAAGUAAAACAAACGUGAAUUAAGUUGACAAAAAAAGCUCAGGAGAUGGUGUAGAUUGUGGUGACCCUAUUUAUCAACUAAUUUCUGUACACAGGCGAUAUAUCUAUAAUGAAGAUUCGGAGGAGGAAGAUGACUAUGGGCCAUUUGGUUCAACAGACAUUAAUGACAUGAUGGUGAUAGGAGAAGAGGUGUUGAUGUGUAUCAUGAAAGGGAAAUUUGGUUGAAAAUCAAUAUUCCUAAUUUCUAUAGGAAUCUCGAUAUAAAAAAAUUCUUAUAUUGAAUCGUGAAUAUGGACAGAGCCUUCAACUAUGUGGAAGCACUUGAAAAGCGAGUCAAAUCGGUGGCUUGUCGGUUCAAAGGUGGUAUAUCUGCCAACCAAAGCCUUUCUUGGUUGUGAAACAAGAAAGUGAAGAACAAAAGGAGUUUGAAGA